rnacentral:rRNA from 1 species
UACGAAGGUGGCAAGCGUUGUUCGGAUUUACUGGGCGUACAGGGAGCGUAGGCGGUUCGGUAAGCCCUCUGUGAAAUCUCCAGGCUUAACCUGGAGCAGUCGGAGGGGACUGCUGGGCUAGAGGACGGGAGAGGAGCGCGGAAUUCCCGGUGUAGCGGUGAAAUGCGUAGAGAUCGGGAGGAAGGCCGGUGGCGAAGGCGGCGCUCUGGAACGUUUCUGACGCUGAGGCUCGAAAGCGUGGGGAGCAAACAGG